UCAAGAAACUUCCACAAUGGGUGAAAGCCUGAUGGAGCGACGUCGCGUGAUGGACGAAGUGCUUCGGCACGUAAACAUCUUUUAUGUGGGAUGAAAUUAUUGACAGUACCACAUGAAUAAGGGGCUCCUAACUCUGUGCCAGCAGGAGCGGUAAUACAGAGGCCCCAAGCGUUAUCCGGAAUCACUGGGCGUAAAGGGUGUCGAGGCGGUUGUAUUAGUCGUUCGUAAAAUCUACGAGCUUAACUUGUAGGCGGCGAACGAAACGGUACGACUUGAGGUUUGGAGAGGUGCGUGGAACUCACGGUGUAGGGGUGAAAUCCGUUGAUAUCGUGGGGAACACCAAAGGCGAAGGCAGCGCACUGGCCAAAAUCUGACGCUCACACACGAAAGCUAGGGUAGCGAAGAGGAUUAGAUACCCCUGUAGUCCCUGAGCGGGCUGGCAAGGCGCAU
rnacentral:rRNA from 1 species